GACCGGUUCGUCUAGUGGCAGGAUGGCGCAUUCUCAACGCGUCGACGCUGGGUUCGAUCCCCGCACCGGUUACCA
rnacentral:tRNA from 1 species